GACGAACGCUGGCGGCGUGCCUAAUACAUGCAAGUCGAACGCAGUGGGGACGGGUGAGUAACACGUGGGUAACCGCCCAUCAGAGGGGAUAACACUGGGAAACAGGUGUUAAACCGAGACGGAUGGAUGGACCGGCGGUGCAUUAGCUAGUUGGGGGGGUAACGGCUCACCAAGGCCACGAUGCAUAGCCGGCCUGAGAGGAUGAUCGGCCACACUGGUACUGAGACACGGCCCAGACUCCUACGGGAGGCAGCAGUGGGGAAUAUUCGGCAAUGGGCGCAAGCCUGACCCAGCAACGCCGCGUGUAUGAAGAAGGUUUUCGGAUCGUAAAGCACUGUUGUUAGAGAGGCGUUAUCUAACCAGAAAGCCCCGGCUAACUACGUGCCAGCAGCCGCGGUAAUAC
rnacentral:rRNA from 1 species